rnacentral:lncRNA from 8 species
AACAGCCCAAAUACAUUUUUAACAGCUCUCUACAGCUUGACAAUAGCGCUGGAUUAUUAUUGUAAGGGGCCCUCGCAUGGUUAACCACAGGACCUCUGCUGAUAGCGCACUCUCGUCUCGGUUCCUUUUACGUGAAUGGAACGGUUCUCUAUAGCGAUAGCUCUAAUAUUGGAGCAUAAUAUUUUGGGAGGUGAUAUUUUUUAUUACUGGCUUAGUGUGGUGUUGAGAGGAAAUGUUAGUCGUACAAGUGACAAAGGGCCUCCCUCACACAGCGGUGCCGGUGUGAUCGCUCGCACAUAGAGACACGGAAAAUGUCAGCACUAAUCUCCUUUAAAAUGUCUCUCUUGUCUGCUACAACACUCACGGUAGGGUGAACACUGUGUCUCUCUAAUUAUCUCCUGUCUGGUAUACUAUCUGUUGCUAUCAUAGACUGAAGUUACAAAAUAGCUACCGCUCUAAACUAAAGAGGGCAGUAACAAAGUGUAAAGAAACUUGUGCUUUGUAAAUAGCUAAAGUAUCAGAUUAUGGUUAAGAGUAAAUGAUAUGGCUCCUUGCUAAAGUGACCUGAGUGCACUGGAAGUGGGAGCAGUAAUAGGAUUGAUCUUGGAAGAUGGUGGAAUAACAGGGUGGUAACUGUGUAAUAUGUAUAACUGCAACAACUGUAUAAUAACAGAUUCAUACUGCCGCUGCUUAUUUAAUGACACUUAUGCAAAGUAUGGUUUUCCUGUGAGUUAUUCCUUCCUGUUAUGCAAAACCAGCCCAGAUAUCAACAAACUCCGUAAGUGAAACCAGAUAUUUUUUUUUACUUUGUCUAAAUCUUGCUUUGUAAUCUCCUCAGGCUUUUGUUGUAUUGUACAAGGUACUGUACGUGUAUGUUAAAGCAAGUAAAUAUUUUCAGAGGUGACAGUGGCCGUAUCUGAAUACCCGUGCUUGCAUUCUAAAUAGCAUGCUGAUUAUGUAUGUGAAAAGAAACCAUUUUGCUAUGUGAGAUUUCAAAAAAAUAUUGUAUGCUUUACUUGUCAUGAUGUCAUAGUAAUUUUGUAUUUUCAUCUAAUACAAAUUCGCUGCAUGCUGUUGAGUAAGAGAAUCGUCUUUUCAGACCCAUGUGUGCUUGACAUCUGCUAAUAGUCAGAUAAGGAGGCGUGCUCUAUAACAAAUGUUAGGGAACAACCCAAUUGUGCAAUAGAUGAUGCCAUCUCAGUAUGCGUGUGCCUAUAGUAUUUUAAGGGGUCCUUAUUACAGUGUAAUUACACUGUAACAAGUAUUGUAAUUCAUUGUAAAAUACAUAGUUACACUGUAAUAACAACAUGUAACGUGGUAAUUGCAGUCUGUAAUUACAGAGGUGUAACAACGAAUGCUUGUUACCAUGCUCGUUACACAUGUUAAAGUUGUCCGAUAGCAUCCCAACCAUAUAUCCCAAAUGCACCAUGUUUCAGCCUGUAUAUUUCAGCCUGCACUAACCAUGUUAUAAGUGUUAGCCAAUUGAAAACCGACCACCUCAUUAACACAACUCAAUAAAGGGCUCUGGAGUCUGAUGCCCAGGCCCAAUGGCAAAAACGAGUUCAGAAAUUGUUCACAUAAAGAAAAUACUUGAAAUUAUUAAAUCAGUUAACGGUGCAAUGGGUCAAUUACUUUAACCAUCAAUUAAACAUUUUUAGACAAAUGAAUA